UACGGGGGGGGCAAGCGUUGUUCGGAAUUACUGGGCGUAAAGCGCACGUAGGCGGACCAUCAAGUUGGGGGUGAAAUCCCGGGGCUCAACCCCGGAACUGCCUUCAAAACUGUUGGUCUGGAGGUCGAGAGAGGUGAGUGGAAUUCCGAGUGUAGAGGUGAAAUUCGUAGAUAUUCGGAGGAACACCAGUGGCGAAGGGCGGC
rnacentral:rRNA from 1 species